UACGUAGGGACCGAGCGUUAUCCGGAUUCAUUGGGCGUAAAGAGCUCGUAGGCGGCUAUUCAAGUCGAACGUGAAAUCUCGGGGCUCAACUCCGAGCCUGCGUUCGAUACUGGGUAGCUAGAGUCUGGUAGGGGGAUCUGGAAUUCCUGGUGUAGCGGUGGAAUGCGCAGAUAUCAGGAAGAACACCCGUGGCGAAGGCGGUUCUCUGGGCCUGCACUGACGCUCAUGCACGAAAGCGUGGGGAGCAAACAGG
rnacentral:rRNA from 1 species